GUGCCAGCCGCUGCGGUAAUACGAAGGGUGCAAGCGUUACUCGGAAUUACUGGGCGUAAAGCGUGCGUAGGCGGUCUGUUAAGUCCGUUGUGAAAGCCCUGGGCUCAACCUGGGAAUUGCAGUGGAUACUGGCGGGCUAGAGUGCGGUAGAGGAUGGUGGAAUUCCCGGUGUAGCGGUGAAAUGCGUAGAGAUCGGGAGGAACACCCGUGGCGAAGGCGGCCAUCUGGACCAGCACUGACGCUGAGGCACGAAAGCGUGGGAGCAAACAGGAUUAGAUACCCUGGUAGUCCACGCCCUAACGAUGCGAACCUGGACGUUGGGUGGACUUAGCCACUCAGUGUCGAAGCUAACGCGUUAAGUUCGCCGCCUGGGGGUACGUCGCAGCUGAACUCAAGGAUUGACGGGGCCGCACGAGCGGUGGAGU
rnacentral:rRNA from 1 species